UACGGGGGGGGCCAGCGUUGUUCGGAAUUACUGGGCGUAAAGGGCUCGUAGGUGGCCAACUAAGUCAGACGUGAAAUCCCUCGGCUUAACCGGGGAACUGCGUCUGAUACUGGAUGGCUUGAGUUCGGGAGAGGGAUGCGGAAUUCCAGGUGUAGCGGUGAAAUGCGUAGAUAUCUGGAGGAAUACCGGUGGCGAAGGCGGCAUCCUGGACCGACAUUGACGCUGAGGAGCGAAAGCGAGGGGAGCAAACGGG
rnacentral:rRNA from 1 species